rnacentral:piRNA from 1 species
UACUCGCCUCACUUUUGAUUUUUGUGCCC